GACGAACGCUGGCGGCGUGCUUAACACAUGCAAGUCGAGCGGAAAGGCUCCUUCGGGGGUACUCGAGCGGCGAACGGGUGAGUAACACGUGAGUAAUCUGCCCUGUGCUCUGGGAUAGCCACCGGAAACGGUGAUUAAUACCGGAUACGACCACUAUAGGCAUCUGUUGGUGGUGGAAAGUUUUUUCGGCAUGGGAUGUGCUCGCGGCCUAUCAGCUGGUUGGUGAGGUAAUGGCUCACCACGGCUUUGACGGGUGGCCGGCCUGAGAGGGUGACCGGUACAGCUGGGACGUAGACACGGCCCAGACUCGUGCGGGAGGCAGCAGUGGGGAAUAUCGGGCAAUGGGCGGAAGCCUGAGCCAGCAACGCCGCGGGAGGGAUGACGGCCUUCGGGUUGUAAACCUCUUUCAGUACCGACGAAGCGAAAGUGACGGUAGGUACAGAAGAAGGACCGGCCAACUACGUGCCAGCCGCCGCGGUAAAAC
rnacentral:rRNA from 1 species